UACAGAGGUCUCAAGCGUUGUUCGGAUUCAUUGGGCGUAAAGGGCGCGUAGGCUGCGGGGCAAGUCGGGUGUGAAACCUCCAGGCUCAACCUGGUGACGCCACCCGAUACUGCCGUGACUUGAGUUCGGUAGGGGAGCGGGGAAUUCCUGGUGUAGCGGUGAAAUGCGCAGAUAUCAGGAGGAACACCGGUGGCGAAGGCGCCGCUCUGGGCCGAAACUGACGCUGAGGAGCGAAAGCGUGGGGAGCGAACAGG
rnacentral:rRNA from 1 species